rnacentral:rRNA from 1 species
CGGCGCGCCUCAUACAUGCAAGUCGAGCGAGAAAGCCCGCUUCGGUGGGUGAUUAAAGCGGCGAACGGGUGCGUAACACGUGGGCAACCUGCCUUUAGGUCUGGGAUAAGCCGCCGAAAGGGGGUCUAAUACCGGAUAACACCUUUCUAUCGCAUGGUAGAAAGUUCAAAGACCGCUUGCGGUCGCCUGAAGAUGGGCCCGCGGCCUAUUAGCUAGUUGGUGAGAUAACAGCCCACCAAGGCUACGAUGGGUAGCCGUCCUGAGAGGGUGAACGGCCACACUGGGACUGAGAUACGGCCCAGACUCCUACGGGAGGCAGCAGUAGGGAAUAUUGCGCAAUGCCCGAAAGGGUGACGCAGCGACGCCGCGUGGGUGAUGAAGCUUCUUGGAGCGUAAAGCCCUUUCAGAGGGGAAGAACCGCAUGGAGGUGAACCUCCGUGCCUGACGGUACCUUCAGAAGAAGCUCCGGCUAACUCCGUGCCAGCAGCCGCGGUAAUACGGAGGGAGCAAGCGUUGUUCGGAAUCACUGGGCGUAAAGGGCGCGUAGGCGGACCGGUGAGUCAGGUGUGAAAACCCGGGGCUUAACCCCGGGCCUGCACUUGAUACUAUCGGUCUUGAGUACGAGAGAGGAAAGCGGAAUUCCAGGUGUAGCGGUGAAAUGCGUAGAUAUCUGGGAGAACACCGGUGGCGAAGGCGGCUUUCUGGCUCGAUACUGACGCUGAUGCGCGAAGGCUAGGGGAGCAAACAGGAUUAGAUACCCUGGUAGUCCUAGCGGUAAACGAUGGGCACUAGGUGUUGGAGGACUUACCCCUUCAGUGCCGCAGCUAACGCAUUAAGUGCCCCGCCUGGGGAGUACGAUCGCAAGAUUGAAACUCAAAGGAAUUGACGGGGCCCCGCACAAGCAGUGGAGUAUGUGGUUUAAUUCGAUGCAACGCGAAGAACCUUACCUGGGCUUGACAUCAACUGGAAAGCCAUAGAGAUAUGGCCCCCUCUUCGGAGGUCGGUUGACAGGUGCUGCAUGGCUGUCGUCAGCUCGUGCCGUGAGGUGUUGGGUUAAGUCCCGCAACGAGCGCAACCCCUGUCCAUAGUUACCAGCGGUUCGGCCGGGCACUCUAUGGAGACUGCCUCGGUAAACGAGGAGGAAGGUGGGGAUGACGUCAAGUCCUCAUGGCCCUACGUCCCAGGGCUACACACGUACUACAAUGGCCGGUACAGAGGGUUGCAAUGCCGC